UCAUACUUUUCUUUUUUGCAGAUUGCACAUGGUUUUCUCCUCACCAAGGCAUUUAGCAGCAGCUGGUGCGUGCAUCAUCACAAUGGAGAUUGUGUACAAGAUGGAUUUUUCUCUCACAGGAUUCAUGAUUUGCUGUUUAAUAUUAGGUUUUGGAAUACAUGAAGCAACUUCAUUGGAGCGCAAUAGAAAAGAUUCUAUCCGAAAUUCAGAUUUAUCAAAUGGAGAAUUUGAUAAU